AUGUACCCUGUAGCUUGGGCUGUUGUGGAAAAAGAAACUACAGAGACAUGGAACUGGUUUAUUGGGCUGCUAAUCAAGGAUUUGGAUAUCAAUGAUCAAGGAGCAGGCUGGGUUUUUAUUUCUGACCAGCAAAAGGUUAUAACUAUUUUCAUUGUUGCAAUUGUUGUAUGUUUCUAA
rnacentral:rRNA from 1 species